GCGCAAGGACGACCUUGCCACUCACUCAGUGAUCAACCGGGGACGGCCCCA
rnacentral:ncRNA from 1 species